rnacentral:rRNA from 1 species
AUUGAACGCUGGCGGCAGGCCUAACACAUGCAAGUCGAACGAGUGGCGGACGGGUGAGUAAUGUAUGGGAACGUGCCCGAUAGAGGGGGAUAACUACUGGAAAAGGUGGCUAAUACCGCAUACUAUCGGAUCAGCCCAUAUGGGAUUAGCUAGUAGGUGGGGGAAAGGCUCACCCAGGCGACGAUCCGUAGCUGGUCUGAGAGGAUGAUCAGCCACACUGGGACUGAGACACGGCCCAGACUCCUACGGGAGGCAGCAGUGGGGAAUCUUGGACAAUGGGCGAAAACCUGAUGCGGCCAUACCGCGUGUAUGAGGAAGGCCUUAGGGUUGUAAAGUACUUUCGGCGGGGAAGCGUUACCCGCAGAAGAAGCACCGGCUAACUCCGUGCCGGCAGCCGCGGUAAUUC